rnacentral:pre_miRNA from 1 species
UGUAGUGGACUCUUCGUCUUAUUUAAAAAUUUUUUUGCAGUUAAUAUUUUUAUUCUUACUAGAUGAUAAAACAUGAAUAGUGUUUUAUACAUGACUAAUUUUUUUAAGUUUUUGUGCAAAUUUUUCAAAUAAGACGAAUGGUCAAUCGUUGCACACGGAAAAAC